rnacentral:rRNA from 1 species
GUGGGGAAUAUUGGACAAUGGGCGAAAGCCUGAUCCAGCCAUGCCGCGUGUGUGAAGAAGGUCUUCGGAUUGUAAAGCACUUUAAGUUGGGAGGAAGGGCAGUAAGUUAAUACCUUGCUGUUUUGACGUUACCAACAGAAUAAUCACCGGCUAACUUCGUGCCAGCAGCCGCGGUAAUACGAAGGGUGCAAGCGUUAAUCGGAAUUACUGGGCGUAAAGCGCGCGUAGGUGGUUCAGCAAGUUGAAGGUGAAAUCCCCGGGCUCAACCUGGGAACUGCCUCCAAAACUACUGAGCUAGAGUACGGUAGAGGGUAGUGGAAUUUCCUGUGUAGCGGUGAAAUGCGUAGAUAUAGGAAGGAACACCAGUGGCGAAGGCGACUACCUGGACUGAUACUAACACUGAGGUGCGAAAGCGUGGGGAGCAAACAGGAUUAGAUACCCCAGUAGUCC